GCUUCCGGAGAGGAGGAAAAUUCCUCGCACAGCAUCGCUCCCUUAAGAAGGCGUGUCACUUAAACGAACAGCGCUGAGAUCCAGAUGAAGCUGGGAGGGUGGAGGGCACUGCCCGGCGCGCAGGUGCUGUGCGAGCCAUUUUAGGGCUCAUCUUUGCAACCAAAUUUGGAUCAUACUAGAUAGACAGGCCGUCAGUUCGUUAACCCAGUGGGAAUAAAGGAGAACAAAUCGAAGUAAAAUAAGAGGGUUUGGCCAUCGCGGUACACGGUGUGCUGAUGGUGACGGUGUCGGAUGAUCACCUGUUCUGCCUCUGCCCUGACACAGCCUCUGGGUCAGUCCAAGCCAUCUGGGCAAGAAAAUACUCCAAGACGUUUUCUCGUCAUGAGAAGCUGAAAAUCAUCCAUAAAAGUGGUAAUUAUGGCUAUGGUAUACGUUGUGUCGAUGCACCAGGCUCACAGGUAAUCAUUUCAUUAUUGAAACUAUCGCGCAAGGUAGGUAUGAUCGUGACCAUUUUUUAAGGAACUAAAGCUCAGAGGAGUGAGACACUUGCCUAAAUUUGCAAGCAUUCAGUGCAUGAGCUAAAUGCCCAUUUAUUUCCAAGGGGCCUUGGGCCUUCCUGUUCUCCCCCAAUACCCGCGUGUGGCGUUCGGAACUAGGAGGUCUCGUGGCAGCUCUGGGAGAAGGUAUGAGUCCCGGCUGUUCGCCGUGCGCUAUGGAGCACGCCAUCCAAGUGGCCGUUACAGAACGGAGCAGGGAUGGGGGUGGUGAUGACAGCUGCUGCCCUGCUAACGCGCCAGGCGCUGGGCACCUGUGACGAGGCCAGCUGUGCUGAGUGCCAUCCAUGCCUCCCCUCCUCAAACCCCCACAACAGCUCUGCGGGGUGGGCACUUCCCAUCUUCCCACUCUGUGUGCGUGGAAACGGGCGCAGACAGCUCAGACGGACUGCUCUAUGGAGAUCACACCAGCCUGGUAUCUUCCUGCUGCUUUGUAGCUCCCUCUUUCCUCUCCAAGGAAGGAGAAGCUGUGCUAAUAUAGGGCUACAUUUUUAGACAGAAAAGACCUAGCCGUUGGCUCAUAAUUUCUUUUAGCUGAAUCUAAUAGCGUUCGGCGACAAGAUAUUACCACGGCGUAACCUGCUCUACUGACCAGUGGACAGAUGAGCCCCAGUCAUCUAUGAGCCCCGGCGACACAGCGGGGUGGAGAUUAACCCCCAGGCGCUGGAUCCAGGUGGCCGCGGAAAGCAGUACCUGCUCUGUCAGGGUUGCCACGAAAACAGUCCCUCCGGGCACCUGGGUGGCUCAGUUGGCUAAGCGUCCGCCUUCAGCUCAGGUCACGAUCUCACGGUUUGUGGGUUCGAGCCUUGCGUCG